rnacentral:lncRNA from 1 species
UAUAUUGAAAAAUAAAUAUAAGAUGGUGUCUAAGGUGGAAGAAAGAAUGAAGAGGAUACAUCAUCAUUAUGAGAGGCAUAACAAAAAACAAGUUCAGAAAGUGAGGAAGUUCAAGAGAAGCAGCUCCAAUGUUGAAGAAGAUGGUGCUUCUUCUGCAAUUCUUUUCCUUGCUUGCAUUGCUUGUGCACCUUGCUAUCUAAUCAUGCAUGCUUUAACAAACAAUUGACCAGCCAAUGGUAUGCUUACACGUGGCACAGAAAAUCUAGAUAAAAGAAUUAAAGUGAAAAUUCAGGUACAGUCGACUUCACGUGAAGUUAAUAAUUGAGAAUCGUUAGAUAAAAAUUUAGUCAAAUCAGUCAAACCAUCUAACGGCUCUCAACUAUCAACUUCUAUCAACUUUACGUAAAAUCGAUUGCACCCGAAUUUCCACCAAGAAUUAAUUCAUGUUUGUAAUUCAAAUGAUAUAGUUUAUAAGUUAAUGUAUAUUUUUGUCUUUGAAAAUUAAGAGUAAAACAAGAUAUAAUUAAUUAAUUAUCCUUGUGAAUGUUUUUAAGUUAUCGUUUUUUAUUUUUCCUAUAA